GUCCAGCAGUCUCUCUGGUGCCAUCGUUCUAAGUGACCCUCCAUUGAGGACCCCAGAGCAAACACAACCUUGCCUGCUCCCUCUCCCACUCCUCGAAGGUGGCGGCCUCUGAGUCCCCUUGGGCUCCAAGGAGGCCCCUGAGUCUGGGGUGGCCACCUGAGAACCUCAGGUCAGGAUCAGAGGACAAAUGCCCUGAAGCCAGCUGUGGUCCAUUCAGGGCUGGCCUGGCGAGUAGCUGCAGGAACCGGUUCACAGGACAGAAGGUCACUGGCAGCCCCGGGCAGGGCAGGGCAGGCCGGGUUUGCAGCCUGCACAGAUCCUUCCUCCCUUUGGGAGAAGCAGAGCAUUGUAUUGACCAGAUCAAGGGCGGAUUUGGUGGCCUAGGCUCCUGUGGGCUGUGAGGCUUCUGCCCUGGGAGGGACACUGACAGUUCAGUCUGCUCCUUCACACAGCCCCCAGGACGUCUGUGACCCUGAAGGAGCUGGAAGAAGUUUUGAAGCCAUCUGAGAGUCCUUCUUGACAGGGACACCCUUGAACUUGGAGCUGUGAGACCAUCACCUGACAGGAGAGAACUCAGAUCCCCCAGGUCAACCCUGCUCAUCUCCCGUGAGGCCUCGCGGCUCCAGGAGGGCCAGGUAAGAAGGGGCAGUUUGGGGACAUGACUUCUGGCACCACAGAAACGACAUCGUGGGCUUCAAAGGGUUUCUGGCGUUAGUGGCCGGAAGUGCUCACAGAGAGGUGCUUCUGUGUCAAAGAACUAGGAUCAGAAUUUCCUGGGGUUCCAAAUACAAACCCACAAAACUAAAAUGCACAUUCUGGGGCCCCUGCCCAAUCAGACACUCAGUGAGUGGGACCCUGAAGCUGUGCCCUUCCCCAGGGGACUUGGGCUCAGUGCAGCCCAAAUGCAGCUGCCCUACAAUCAAGAGGGCAGCCUCUAGGUGGAGGCCAGUCCCCCUGCCAGCAGCUGCCCCAUGGCCACAGCUCUCAGGUCCCUCUAUGGAACCUGCAUGGCCUCCCUGGCCUCCCUAGACAGCACCUGGGGCCCUGGAGCCACAGCUGCAGUCGCCCUCCUUCCUGGACUCUGCCCUUUGCCUCCUGCUUGCCUCUCUGGUGGGGGAGGGGGCUGUACUGCAGAAGUCCCACUCAGCACCCCAGCCACCUGGGGAGGCUCCCAGCUUGACCCCCACUCACCUGCCAGCACCAUCCACAGCCUCAUCACGGCCUUCACUGAGCAGGACAGGCCCAGGGCCAUGCUAAGUAAAUGUUGGUUGAACAAACAGAGCCUCUUUGUUCCUUUCCCCCAGGACUCGCUCCCAGAUCCCCAACAGGACCCUGCCAGGCUGCACAUGGCGGCCAUCGGUCUCUGGCUGGUGGUUCACAUCUGAGCCCAACUCCACUUGCCCCUCGUCUUCCCCUAAUCUCAACGCCCCUGCUCUAGGAACUGUCCUUGGUGUCCUCCUAGCCACUCAACAAACCUUCCUGGGUGUCUACUGUGGCUCAGGCACAUUGGUGGACCAAGAACCAGCAGAGGAAGGCAGACACGGUCCCCCUGCACCCUCCAGGGCCAGCAAGCACCCCGGCAAUUCCCUCCCCAGCCUUUUGGGUGCCUCGCCCCCUUGUUGGACUCCCGCACCUUUAGGACGACACAACACAUGCUCAGGCGGUGAGAGGACUGUGCCGGCCAGUCUGGAAACCUAUGGGAAAGCCCCCAGAGAGGUCCUGGAGUGGACCAAGCAGGAAAGAACCAGGCCACAGCAAGGGACCUGCCUAAGUCUGAGGAGGGAAAAUGCCCUUGACCACAGUAGUUGCUCUUUGUCACACUCCUACUAGUGAUAAAAAUCAAGAAAUCACAGCCAGGCCCCUGGCUCAGGAGCCCACAUCCUCCCCCACUGCUCCCAGGCCCUGGGCAGGGACAGCAGAGCAUGUGGAGCUAGCUGACCAGAGUGACCAGGCCUCCGUGCAACCCCAGGACUCCCCCUUGCAGACCCUCCAGAGAGGUCUGAAGCUGCCAGGGACCCUGAGGUCAGCUCAGGGAGGUGGUCCAGGUCGACAGACAUGAGCGGAGUGCACCGAGGGCCAUGCAUGUGGGCUCCAGAGCCGCCUGCCUGCCACCUCUCACUACCUGGGUCACUUUGGUAACAUUACUUUGCUUCUCAGCUGCCUCGGUUUCCUCAUCAUGGUGAGAGCGCUGUGCCGAGCAUUCCAAGGAGCCAGGUGCAGGGGGCCCUGCCGAGUGACUGCCACCAUUGUUACCAGCUGCCCUCCGUCAAGACACUAGGAAGUGCUCACUUAUCCAAUCCCCCCUCCUGGCCUCUCAGGGAGUGUUCCUGACCCCAGUUCAGAUGGGAACCCCUCUGUGGUUGACAUCUCCAUGGCCACCCAGGUCCUGAGAGGGACUUGGACCCAGGACCCGUCUGCACAGCCAUCACAUGGCUCCGCCUUUGCAGGUUCAAGUUCCAGAGCUGGUGCCAGGUCUUCUGCGGAAGCUCUGCAUCCCGCCCACAGCAAGCCGCCAAGCCUACCUGGCGGUCGCAUUCCACAGGUGGACAGGUCCAAAAAGAACCUCCGCCCACUGGGUUUGUGUGAGUGAAGUCCUCCUGGGGUGGGGGGAGGGCAGGCUGGACAGAAAAGCCCCAGGUAAUGUAAAUGGAAACUCUAACCGACAGCCCUGCACCUGGUGUUUUUGCAUCUCCCAGGGAUCGAGUGUGAAGCUUUGUGAGCACUGGCUCCGGGCCGCUGUCAGGUGUGCCUGGAGGGACCUGCUUUGGCCCACGUCUAGGGACAAGCUGGUCUAGGUCUCAGCGCCACUUCACAUCCCAGCCUGGGCAUUCUGUGGCUUAUUUAAACCAACUCUUGGAUGGCCCAGAAAAUGCCUAGGGCCACCCUUGACCUCAACUCUGAGCCAGACUGGGCUGCCCAUUCCCCUGGGGCCCUCCACGACAUUCCCAGCUGCAGACAGGAGCUCUCUUGGCUCCAGAGAAGAGGGAGCAACACCCUGUUUCCCCACAGACUCCAGGGACUCAACAGAGACAAAAGGCCACUUGUCCAGGCUGCAGGCUGCAGGCUGCAAGGGUCACCGCAGGCAGAGUCCCUGCCCUGCAGGCCCUGUUCAUGUUGCUGGAUGUCCGAGCACCUGGCUCCACCUGCGGCAAACAUCCCAACAAUACCCAGGCACAGAAGGACAUCGCCCAAGGACACACAACAUGGAAGGACAAGGGCCCAGGACCCAGGUGUGCCCAAGGCUCCUGCAAUUUGGUUGGACCUCGCUGGGCCUCCCAGACAGAACUGCAGCUCCCCCUGUGUAGGGAACCAGCCCGACCAUGUGGCCAGGCAUUGGCCAUCCUCUAGGACAAAGGCACGAGCCUGGGCACUGGGGAAUCCCCAAACUCACAGACAAGGUCCCUGAAUGACCAGCAGUGGGGCGUGGCGGGUAUGACUGUGCGAAUCACCACAGCCACAGGCCCGCCUCAGCAGAGCCGGCCCAGCUGCAGGCAGACAGACAGCCACGUGCUCAGAGUCAAGGACCCAGUCCACAGCACAGUAAGUGCUGACCCAGCCACAGUCGCCUGGAGAGGACCCCUGUCUCUGCAGAGCAAGUGCUCUGGUGGCCAGCCUUGCCCGCAGCCAGAGAAGUCUCCAGAACAGGACACAGCUGCAGGGGAGCCAGCUGGAGCGUCCUGCCCUGAGCAGAACACAAACUCCCACAAAGCUGAGCAGAAAGCCUGUGUGACUGCCCAGGGACCCUGGGUCCCAUAGGCAGGCAACUGCAGGGCCUGACUGUAUCCCCUCCCAGUGCCUGAGCCCCAUGGCCUCACAGGGAAGGGUAGAGCAGACGAUUGUUUACCAAUCUGUUUGCCCUUCCCCAAAAUAGAUUCUUGCCCAAGGGUGUUCCAACUCCCAGGGCUGCUGGCCUGGCCUGGACUUCCAAACCUGCUGUCUGCUGGAGCCCUCUGUGGGAGGUGCCCCUGAAUGAGAUAAUGACAUGGGCAGCUCUUACCAGAAAGAAAGCCCAAGAGCUACAAAGGCAGCUGUUGACCAAGGAGUUUUAGCAACUGAGAAGAAACAGGCUCCACCUCAGCUCACAGCUCAGCUCAGCGGUCACCUGUGGGUCUUUCCCACCUGUCCCCUGUUCCCAUCCUCUUGGGUCCUUCCUGGGUGCCCUCACCAUGAGCACCCUGUCCCUGAGUCCAAGUUGUAGUCGCCAGAGGAUUCCAAGGAAAGCUCCUAAAGUGGUGAGCCUGGGCCAGGAGGGCAGCUCUGGCCUGUCACUCCACCUGUGUUGCCAGGUAGGCUGCAGGAGCUGCACCCACAGAGGAAACGACCCGCAACGAGACAGCAACAACAAACCAAAGCGGGCGGACUAUUUUUAUCCUUCCAGAGAUUCGCAGCCGAGACCCUGGCUGCUGAAGGGCGCCCCAGACUUUGAGCAGAUUUCUCUCCCGAGGUCACCUUGAGACCUUCCCUCCUCCAGCCUCCCCCUCGCCCUCCUAGGGGAGCCGGGAAAGUGGAUCAGGUCAGAGCAAAGUACUCUUCACCCUGCCACCUCCACUGGAAAAAUAAUUAGUCGCCAAAUAUUCAGAAUGGGUCACUGCUACCUGAAUCAAUAAGGGGACAUCGGAUACCACUGGAGAGCUGGCCCCUCUUAACCGCAGCUUCAGGCUCCACCCAGGCUGUGCACAGACUCCCACCAGCUGCCAGCAGAAGAGGGCUGACAGCCUGGGCUGCCCUACACCUGGGUCAGCCAGACGCGCUGUGGUGAGUCCCCUUCGUCUCCUGUCACACACACACACACACACGUGUGCACACAUGCACUACAACACAUGUGCACACACAUUCAGAACACCACACACACACACACCCCAGACGUGUACACGAUUCCCACAGGCACGCACACGCCACACACUCACACCACACACACAUGCACAGUCUCACACCCACACAUGCACAUACACACCACACACACCAGGAUCACCUGAGAGCUGCAAGGGGAACGCAUCGAGCCAGGAUGCUCACGGGACUUCCCACAAGCUCCCGGAAGGCCCCAGCUCUGAGGUGCACCCAGGAAGGCUGAGAGGAGACUGGACACCCCUGGUCUCCACCCACCCCUCCCUGAGACACGCAGCAUUCAGGAUCACCUCCAGAGAGGCCCUUAGCCCCAGCCCAAUCACUACCUUGCUGCAUGACCUCCAAGAAAUCUCCUCACCUCUUUAAAUCUGGGGCUGUGCCAGCGCAAGAAGGGCAAUUUGAUGUGGUCAUCUGAACAGUGGUGAGGCAGUGCCCUCCAAGACGCUCCAGUCCAAGUGUGGGGUCAUCACAGUCCCCACCCUGCUCUUCAGCCCCUGCUCUUCCAACCCUGCAAAAGUACCCACCUUAUUUGAAUCAGUGCUGUGGACUCGGCCUCCCCUUAAAGAACUCAGGGCUCUCUGGAGACGUCUCAAUGUCAUAGGCAGCUUAGCCCAAAGAAAUCCAGCCUCUGGAACUGCCAUCGGUCCCAAGGAGAAACUGGCAGCAUCAGGACAGGCCGCCUGAGUGGCAUUUGCCUCCACGUAAAGCAGGCACAGUAAAUUAAGUGGGUUCGCAUGCGGCACAGAGUUCAGCUCCCAUGUUUGAAGCUCAGUUAUACCUAAGCAGUUCUCACAUCUGUACGUGGAGAGCAACCUUGUAUUUCUCUAAUAAAAACACAGUAAUCAUUUCAUUAAA